rnacentral:rRNA from 1 species
CCUCUGGUGUGCCAGUUGUACCGCCAGGUGCAUGGCUGGUUGGCUACGUUCGGGAGGGAUAACCGCUGAAAGCAUCUAAGCGGGAAGCCUGCUCCAAGAUGAGGUUUCCGACCCACCAUCGUGUGGGGUGAGGCCCCCGGCAGACUACCGGGUUGAUAGGCCAGAGGUGGAAGCACCGCGAGGUGUUGUGAGCCGACUGGUACUAAUGGGCCGAGAACUAAACAAC